ensembl:lncRNA
GAGACAGCCAGCGAGAGAGGGAACACAAGCAGGGGGAGUGGGAGAGGAAGAAGCAGGCUCCUAGCGGAGGAGCCUGAUGUGGGGCUCGAUCCCAGAACGCUGGGAUCAUGCCCUGAGUCGAAGGCAGACGCUUAAUGACUGCGCCACCCAGGCGCCCCAAAAGAUUUUAUUUAUUUGACAGAGAGAGAGAUCACAAGCAGGGGGAGAGGGAGAGGGAGAAGCAGGCUCCCCACUGGGCAAGGGGCCAGAUGUGAGACUCGAUCCCAGGACCCUGGGAUCAUGACCUGAGCUGGAGGCAGACGCUUAACUGACUGAGCCAUCCAGGGGCCCCAAUAAACAAAACCUUUAAAAAAACAAAAAAUAAAUUUAAAAAAGAGGUAAUGGAAAGAGAAAGAGUAAAAGUAGGACUAAAUGAAUGUGAAUAAAAUAUGAAUUGUGUAAAAUACAAUAGGAGUGAUUCAAGUUAGAUAUAAAUAUGGUGUGUUUAUAUUUAUGUUGAUGAUCAAAUCCAGAUUUGACCAUGGAACUGCUACAGCCAUUUUAGCUCCAGAAUGAGGAUAAAACCAGUGCAAAGAGGAGGACAAAGCCAAGAGAAUGUCAGGGAAGUAGAGACACUGAGACUUCAUUGUCACACUAUGUCUGGAAUUUGCCCUAUCCCUGGACUUAUUUAUAUAAGAUAAUAAAAUUUCCUUUUUGCUUAAGGAUUUGAAUCAAGGUUUUCUGAUAUUUGCAGCUGAAAGUAUCCUGAUGGAGACAUGCAGUAAUUUUUCAGAAGAAGAUAGAGCCAGGCAUUUCUGCAGAGGCAACAACAUGAAAAAGGGUUCAGAGGAGAUUCGUGUGAUGCACCAACCUGCCAGACCUGACGUAGCUGUGGAGUUGAGUAACCCACAGUAUCAACCAUGCACUAUAGUAUUUCUCUGCUUUGCUGCCCCGGGGCUUUCUCCACACCACAGAGGCCUGCUUGACUAUGUGUAGCUGCAACCUGGAAGUAUGAGGGAGUUAAAGUCUCCAGGGGAAACCCUCAAAAAGUAGAGAGACAAGGAUCUUUAGGUAAAUGCUCCAGCCAACACAGUCUCCACUAGGAUAAUUCUGAGGUGUGGUUUUCAGAGGCUUCCCUAGGCAGAUUGGUCCCAGCUGCCCAUAGUAUUAACUGGUUAAUAUAUUGUUUUUUACCCCCUUUUCUAUCUCAUUUCCCCCUCCCUUCUUUCUGGUUCUUGAAAUCAUCUCUCAAAUGAAUGACCUGUGCCCAGUGCUUAUCUCAAGGUCUGACUUUAGAGAGAGCCCAAAUAAGACACUUAUCUAGUUUUUUAUUUUCUUAAAAAAAAUAAUAUACACACAUGUAUGUAUGUAUGUAUGCAUGUUUCCUUUAUAAGACUGAUACGUUUGGGACACCUGGGUAGCUCAGUCAGUUAAGUGUGCCUUUGGCUCAAGAUCCCAGGGUCCUGGGAUGUGUCUUGCUCCCUGCUCAGUAGGGAGUCUGCUUCUCCCUCUUUCUUCCUCCCCCCAACCCCCCACUUGCAUGUGCACCACUCUUUCUCUCUCAAAUUAAAAAAAAAAAAAAAAAGAGAGUGAUACAUGUUCAUUUUUGCAACUAUUGCAAAUUUUGAAAUAUGAAAGAAUUGGCCCAUUACCUAAAGACAACCGCUGUUAUCUUUCAGCAUAUGAUAAAUUAUUUCUUUUGUGUUUCCGGGUUUUUGUGUGUGUGUGUGCCUGUUUUUAACUGUUACUGUAGUCUAAACUACUAAAAUAAUUAUUCUACUUUUUAAAAUAUUCUAUUCAUUAGUUUGUAAUUUAAUCAUAGAAAUUCAGUUCUCAGUGAUGUCUAUGAAUAAGGGAAAAAUAGAUUUAAAAAAAAAUGUAUGUAGGGGUGCUGGGUGGCUCAGCUGUUCAGCGCCUGCCUUCAGCUCAGGUCAUGAUCCCUGAGUCUUGGGACUGAGCCCUGUGUCCUGCUCCCUGCUCAGCAGGAGUCUCCUUGUCCCUCUCCCUCCACCUGCUGCUCCCCGUGCUUGUGCUCUCUCUCUGUCAAAUAAAAUGUGAAAAAAAAAAUGUAUGUGAUAGUAG